rnacentral:rRNA from 1 species
AGUGAACGCUGGCGGUAGGCCUAACACAUGCAAGUCGAACGGCAGCACAGUAAGAGCUUGCUCUUACGGGUGGCGAGUGGCGGACGGGUGAUGAAUACAUCGGAAUCUACUUUUUCGUGGGGGAUAACGUAGGGAAACUUACGCUAAUACCGCAUACGACCUACGGGUGAAAGCAGGGGAUCUUCGGACCUUGCGCGAUUGAAUGAGCCGAUGUCGGAUUAGCUAGUUGGCGGGGUAAAGGCCCACCAAGGCGACGAUCCGUAGCUGGUCUGAGAGGAUGAUCAGCCACACUGGAACUGAGACACGGUCCAGACUCCUACGGGAGGCAGCAGUGGGGAAUAAUGGACAAUGGGCGGAAGACUGAUCCAGCCAUACCGCGUGGGUGAAGAAGGCCUUCGGGUUGUAAAGCCCUUUUGUUGGGAAAGAAAAGCAGCAGGUUAAUACCCCGCUGUUCUGACGGUACCCAAAGAAUAAGCACCGGCUAACUUCGUG